ACUCAAAUGAAUAGACGGGGGUCCGCACAAGCGGUGGAGCAUGUGGUUUAAUUCGAUAGUACGCGAGGAACCUUACCUGGGCUAGAAUGCUUCUGCAACCUUGAGAAAUCAGGGGUUCCUUCGGGACAGAAUGCAAGGUGCUGCAUGGCCGUCGUCAGCUCGUGCCGUGAGGUGUUGGGUUAAGUCCCAUAACGAGCGCAACCCUUUUACUUAGUUGCCAGCAUGUAAUGAUGGGGACUCUAAGUAGACUGCCUGCGUAAGCAGGAGGAAGGAGGGGAUGAGGUCAGGUCAUCAUGGCUCUUACGCCCAGGGCUACACACGUGCUACAAUGGCGUGUACAAAAGGAUGCUACUUGGUAACAAGCGGCCAAUCCCCAAAACACGUCUCAGUUCGGAUUGAGGUCUGCAACUCGACCUCAUGAAGCUGGAAUCGCUAGUAAUCGCGUAUCAGCAACGACGCGGUGAAUACGUUCUCGGACCUUGUACACACCGCCCGU
rnacentral:rRNA from 1 species